rnacentral:lncRNA from 1 species
GACGGGAAGAACGCAGACGGGCCGCUCCUAUUGGGAGGCGCUCAGGACGGCAGCCCCGGGGCUCCCCGCAGGCCGGCAGGCCCUUACCUGGUGCACGAUCUUGCUGAAGGCCUCCUGCAGUUUACCGUGAAUGAUGGACAGCUUCUUGGCGUCCCGAUUGGCCUCGUGGAUGGGGAUGAGCACCUUGUAGACCUCGUUGACCGCCUCGUACAUGCCCGCCUGCAAGUGCAGCGACCGCCGUGCUCAGAGGCCCUCCGGCCGCUCCCACCGUCCCCAUCCAGGCCGGCCACUGCCCGCACGGUGCUCGGUGCUCGGCCGGACCCUGCUUCCCCCUGCGGCCUCCGGGGGGACGUCCGGCUGCUCUCCGGCCCACCAUCUCGCCAGCAGAGCAGAGGCGUCAGUGUGUGCGCAUGUGGGGGGGACAGGGGGGCGGCGAGGCCCGGCCCUGGCGCCUACCAUGGAGAAGGAGGCAGCCGCCUGCUCCAGCAGCCCCACCAGCCCGGCCUCCGUGAAGUACUUUCCCGAGCAGAUGCCCUCCUCGUCCGGAGACACCACGUCGUCCGACACGGCCGACUCCUCCAGGACGUUGGACGAGAUGUUCUGUGGAGGCAGGUCCAGGUGAGGCCUGCCCCCCCCCAACAGCACGCACCAGAGGCAGCCCCAACCCCAGAGGGGAGCCCCCCAUUAGAACGCACCAGAGGCGGCCCCAACCCCAUAGGGGAGCCCCCCCCGUUAGCAUGUACCAGAGGCGGCCCCAACCCCAGAGGGGAGCCCCCCAUUAGAACGCACCAGAGGCGGCCCCAACCCCAGAGGGGAGCCCCCCCAUUAGAACGCACCAGAGGCGGCCCCAACCCCAGAGGGGAGCCCCCCCAGCCCUCCCCCGCCCAGGAUGCACCAAGAAGCGGCCGGGUCCCUGGAGGGAAGCCCUCCCCCCUCCCCCCACGGGGACCACCUGGAAGGUCACGCAGCCCACGGGCAGGUACUUCCGGUCCUCCAGCAUGCUCAGGUACUCGGCCACCAGGGCGGCCGAGUGGACCAGGCACUGGGCGGCCUCGGCAUGGUUGUUCCUCUCCGAGUGCUUGCCGGCCAUGUUCUGCAGCCAGGUCAGCCGCAGGUCCGGGGACGUCUGGUAGCCUUUGGCGAUCCUGCGGGGACACGAGCGCUCCCGUGAGCUCCGGGCCUCCCGCGCAGAGCCCGGCACACGGGCCGGCCGGCCUACCUGUACAUGAGGUCGAUGAGCAUCUCGGGGUCCUCCUGGUGCUCCUUCAUCUUCACGGUGUCCGACAGGAUCAUGUGCAGGUUGAAGACGAGAUCCUGCACCUGCGGCGAGAGACGGGCUCGCGGGGGGCCUCACGCUGCAGCCGCCCCCCCCCCCCCCCAGGGGCCCCUCCUCACCUGGUCUGGGAACGUGGUCUCCCGCAGCUCCAGGUCCUCCUCGGCGUAGGUCAGGAUGGUCUUGAGGGAGCGCCGCAGAGACUCCUCGUUAAAGCUCUGUGA